rnacentral:rRNA from 1 species
UGAAAACUUAAAACUUAAAAGACUUGACGGUACUUCACACCAACCUAGAGGAGCCUGUCUAAUAACCGAUAACCCACGAUCAACCCAACCUUUUCUAGCCCAACAGUCUAUAUACCGCCGUCGCCAGCUUACCUUAUGAAAGAAACAAAGUAAGCCAAACAGCACUAAACACUAACACGACAGGUCGAGGUGUAACUUAUGAAAAGGACAAAAGAUGGGCUACAUUUUCUAACCUAGAACAAACGAAUAGACUAUGAAAACAGAAACUGAAGGCGGAUUUAGCAGUAAGUUAAGAACAACAUACUUUACCGAAACCAGCAAUGAAGUGCGC